UGCUUUUCUAACUGGAACACAGAGCAGGCCUCCAGAGGCAGGGCAUCUGUUGCUCGCCGCCUGCUCCCUUCAUUUCUGCAUGGACCACAAAACUCGAGAAGCGGAGUGGCGUCAGAAGUUCCUUGUCGCCGCCUCUCUGGGUGACUGAAGCUGAUGCAGGGUGAUGCCAGCACCCUGGACCAGAGCAUUCCCGGCCACGGGUGCACUCGGCCUGACUGCGCUGGGAAGUGAGAGAGGAUGUGAGGUCUCACUCACUGCCUGUUCACCUUGGGCAGGCCUCUGGAAGGGCAGGCAAAUGCUGGCGGAAGGGUCCCCCCUGCCCGAUGCAUCACGGCGCCUGGAGGAUUGACCCGCAAGGGUGUGAAGAAGGAGGAGGCGGUGACCCCUUUGCCCUGCACCUGAGACUCACCUGCGUUUUGAGUAGAGAGUCUCUGAGACUUACACGUGCAUGUAAAUAUAGAAAACACACUUCUGAGGAGGCGACCUGUCACCACCACUGACCAGGUUUUCGCUGUU